rnacentral:rRNA from 1 species
CCCUUAGACGUUCUGGGCCGCACGCGCGCUACACUGACACAGGCAACGAGCUUUCCUUUACCGAAAGGUAUGGGUAAUCUUUUGAAACUGUGUCGUGCUGGGGAUAGGUCCUUGCAAUUUUUGAUCUUAAACGAGGAAUUCCUAGUAAGCGCGAGUCAUCAACUCGCGUUGAUUACGUCCCUGCCCUUUGUACACACCGCCCGUCGCUACUACCGAUUGAAUGGCUUAGUGAGGCCUCAGGAUCCGCGCUUAAUGUGUGGAGAAUUUGGACAAACUACGUCAUUUAGAGGAAGUAAAAGUCGUAACA